UCUCUGUGUAGAAAACAGAGCCUGUCCUGGCACUCGCUCUGGCCUCUUAACUCACAGAGAUCCACCUGCCUCUGCCUCUGCCUCCCGAGUGCUGGAUUAAAGACAUGCUCCACCAACGCCCAGCAUGAAGCCAUCUCUUUACAUGGGCUUUGGUGGCAGUCGUGGUGCAGCACCAGCAGGUCUAAAUCGUGGUGGGGGUGUUUGGUCCUUCUCUGCUUCCUGAGAUGGAUUCCUGACUAUUUUGCUAUGAAUAGCACAGCUCACACAGUAAUGCAGCUUGACAUAGAGUUUAGAAAGCACGUAAGACACUUGCUUCAUUUAUGUCCCUGAUAGCAUCCUCUACAGUGUUCCAAAUGACAGCCUUCUUAAUGGCCUUGUCCUUGGGUACUCACUGGGCCCAGUUCAUGCAGUGAAUUGGCUGCACAUGGCCGAGGCCUUAUUUUGGCAUGCCUGUUUUUUUGUUUGUUUUUGUUUUUGUCAUCUUGGAGCCAAGACCAGAAAGACCAGUUUUUAGGUUUUGUUUUGUUUUUAUGGUUUUUCAAGACAGAGUUUCUCUGUGUAGCUUUGGAGCCUUUCCUGGUACUCGCUCUGGAAACCAGGCUGGCCUCUGCCUCCCAAGUGCUAGGAUUAAAGGUGUGCGCCACCAAGACCCGGCCUAGUUUUAAGGUUUUUAAUGUAAGCAGUCUUUUUCGUUUAAAAAUGAAAAGAGGGCUGGAAAUAUUUGUCUAAUGAUAGCACACUCUCCUAGAAGAGCCUAGUGAUAGCAUGCCAACCCCAGAGAGGGGCUGAGUACAUGGCUCAGUGGUAGAGCCCCUGCCUGGAAUCCCCCAGAAAGGCUGGGGUGUGGCUCAGUAGUAGAGCCCCUGCCUGGAAUCCCCCAGUGAGGGGCUGGGGUGUGGCUCAGUGGUAGAGCCCCUGCCUAGAAUCCCCCAAGGAGGAGCUGGGGGUGUGGCUCAGUGGCAGAGCUCCUGCCUAGAAUCAACCCCAUGAGGGGCUAAGGGCGUAGCUCAGUGGUAGAGCCCCUGCCUAAAAUGCAUAAGUAAGUCUCUGGCCCCCAGCACCACAAAAAUUUAACUUCUUGACUGUCCACAUUCCUUUUUUGUUUUGUUGUUUUUCGAGACAGGGUUUCUCUGUAUAGCCCUGGCUGUCGUGGACCUCAAUCGGUAGACCAGGAUGUCCUCAAACUCAGAAAUCUGCCUGCCUCUGCCUCCUGAAUGCUGGCAUUAAAAGUGUGUGCCGCCACACAGCUAACUGUCCACAUUCUUCAUCCAUUUCUCCCCUCAAUAAUUCCUUUCAUGACUGUAGUAGUUGACUAUAUGAGUGGCAUUAGGUAUGACAAUGGUUUGUGACAUGAGUUACAAAUAUAUUUUUCCAGUUGUUUGGCUAGCUUAAAAUUCUAUUUUCACCCUUGAUGUGGGUGGGUUCAGGGGACCAAAUUCAGGUCGCCAGGCUUGUGUAGUAACUAGAGUCAACACAUCUGCCUGGAUUAUUUAUCCUAUUUUCCCAAAAUUUGCAAAAUUUUAAAUCCCAAAGUUUCCUUGCUGUGUUUGGGAUUUCAUUUUUUUUUUUUUUUAUCUUGCAGCAUUUAUUCAGAGAGCAGGGGGUGGGAGGUGAAACCGGUUCUCUGUGUGGCCCUGCCUGUCCCAGACCUGAGUCUGUAGACCAGGCUGGCCUCCACCUCAAAGAGCACCUGCCUCUGGCUCUGGAGUGUUGGGAUUAAAGACCCUCAUGGUUGCAGUGUGUGAAGCAAAUCUUGAUUGUCAACUUGAUUUUCCUGGAGAGAGGGGCCUCAACUGAGGAAUGACCUCCAGCGUAUUGGCCCAUGGGUAAGCCUAUGAGGCAUUUUUUUUGUUGCCGAUUGAUGUAUGUAGCAAGGCCCAGCCCACCAUAGGCAGCGCCAUCUCUAGAAGAAGUAGCUGGACAAGCCAGAAGAGAAAGCCAGUAAGCCACACUCCUCCAUAGCCUCUGCCUCAGUUCCUGCCUCAAGUUUCUGCCCUGAUUCCUUCCAAGAUGGACUGUGACCUUAGAGUGAUAAACUGAAAUAAACCCUUUCUUCCCCCAC